GUUUUUUAUAGGCUCUCGUGUGGGGCAGAAUCCCUCACAACUGUUUCAGCCAGCAUGGACUUUGUAUGUGGGAGCGCGAGCAUGUGUGUGUGCGUGUGUGUGUGUGUUUCAUAAGAGCCAGCAUCAGUCUGAGUUUUUAUACUUUGUAUUCUAUUUUCUACUUUCAUUUCGCACCAAAACAUACUGAAUGGCAAAGCUGAAUCUUCAGUAAAGGGUUUGACAAGUCUGAUGUUCAACACAAUAAUCUUGUAACGUGGCGAAAGAGGAUAUCGAAGCACUGAGCAGUUAUUAUUUUCGUUAAUUAUAUGAAUGUGGCCAAAGCUUCAUGCAGUUGAAAAAACACGAAAAACUUUAGUUGGUGCCCCUGAUGAGUGUAUAUUUAUUGUGGUUAAUCCAACAUGUGGCUGAGAUACAUCAACUCUCAUUGGGAUACUUGAUUUUAUUUUAAUUUUUUUUUUGGACAUUUUGCAAAGAGAGAACGAAAGCGACAGGUUUUGCUGUAGAGGUCAUCCUUUUGCCCACUGUGAAAAUAAACAUGUAUACAGAUAUAGAUAUAUUUAAAGAAGACAUCAACACUUUUCUUUGAAAUGACAAAGAAGGAAAUAAAGAGAAACGAACUCUGGGAAACUUGAGAGAUGUCAUUGAGAUGUCUGAGAAGGCUGUUGUUGACACACCAAAACUGGGCAUGGGAGCCAAAGGCAGGGCCGACGCGCCCCGAUAUCAAGUCAUUAUUUAACUAACACUAUAUGCCGACGGGAGUGGACUCUGCAACCAGUGGACAUACGUGACACGGAGAGGAAUUUAUCUCCUUUUUCUCUCUCUGGCUCUGCAUCUACUCGGACAUUUUCUGCACUUCUGAACGGGAUGGACACAAACACUCGCAUACGUUGUCUCCCAGUUCAUGGUGUUGCUACCUGUUUCAUUUCCUCCUGCCCGCUUCAGUGACUGACAUGUGGUUCCACUCUGGCGUGGAGUCGACCAGAUCCAUCCAACCAUAAAGAGUGACUUUACUGUUCAAGGGGAGGGGAUUUUCCUGGGUGUCAUUCCUGAGGAAGCAGAUAACCACAAAAAAAGCGAAUCAACCAAAAUUAAUAACCAAACUAACAAGCAACCAAACGAAAACAAAAAACAUUUGCUCCAGUUUCAACGAUGAACUGCUCCUGGAGCUUCCUGUUCUUUUAGUGGCUCCUGGUGCCACAGGAAUUUUGAUGCUUUUUGUGUUUCCUUUUUUUUAUUAUUUUUUCUCUUUCGUUCUCCUCAAAUUAUUCCUCCUCCUCCGAGCCUCACAAGCACGGCUCUGUGGCUCCAGGUAGCCCAUCCGAGGGUAGAACUUACAGCCUUGCAAUGUACAAAAAGAGCAAGUUAAACCAAAAAUGUUGUUCUUGAUGUCUUUUCUAUACUGUAGUCUUGUUAGCUUUUUGUUACUGUAAUUAUAUGAUGAAGAUUUCCAAACUGUACCAAAUUACAUGGAGACUAACAUACAUAAACCACAUGGAACUUCAGACUUUUAAAGAGAAACUUUUGUCACAAAAACCUUGUUGUCCUAGUUAAGUUGAUUGUAGAUGGUAAUUGAAUAUACUCCUUUGAAA
ensembl:lncRNA